rfam:Capsicum annuum cultivar Zunla-1 chromosome 5, whole genome shotgun sequence
UGGUGGUGAUGAGGUUAAUUUUUAAGCAUGCCUUUAAAUCGCUCCGAAGCUUGAUAGAGAUUUUCUUCAUCUUCUUGUCUGAAACUCAAAAUCUCACUCCUCAAUCA